AGAGUUUGAUCAUGGCUCAGAUUGAACGCUGGCGGCAGGCCUAACACAUGCAAGUCGAGCGAGAAAGCACUUCGGUGCGAGUAUAGCGGCGGACGGGUGAGUAACGCGUAGGAAUCUACCCAGUAGCGGGGGAUAACUUAGGGAAACUUAAGCUAAUACCGCAUACGCCCCACGGGGGAAAGGCCGGGAUCUUCGGACCGGUCACUAUUGGAUGAGCCUGCGUUGGAUUAGCUAGAUGGUGAGGUAAUGGCUCACCAUGGCGACGAUCCAUAGCUGGUCUGAGAGGAUGAUCAGCCACACUGGGACUGAGACACGGCCCAGACUCCUACGGGAGGCAGCAGUGGGGAAUAUUGGACAAUGGGCGAAAGCCUGAUCCAGCCAUGCCGCGUGUGUGAAGAAGGCUCUAGGGUUGUAAAGCACUUUCAGUAGGGAGGAAAAGUUAGUAG
rnacentral:rRNA from 1 species